UACGCAGGCAGCGAGCGUUGUUCGGAGUUACUGGGCGUAAAGCGUGCGUAGGCGGUGUCUUAAGUUUGUUGUGAAAUCUCCCGGCUUAACCGGGAGGGUGCGGCGAAUACUGAGAUGCUGGAGUGCCGGAGAGGUAAGCGGAAUUCCUGGUGUAGCGGUGAAAUGCGUAGAUAUCAGGAGGAACACCUGCGGUGUAGACGGCUUACUGGACGGUAACUGACGCUGAGGCACGAAAGCGUGGGUAGCAAACAGG
rnacentral:rRNA from 1 species